AUGUACCCCGUACACUCUGGUUCCUCCGCGCCGUUCGCACCCACCUGACGACUGCUCGCUACGUUUUGUUGGCG
rnacentral:sRNA from 2 species